GUACGAGAAACUAAUACAAGUCGAGUGGCUUCACGAGAUCUCAGUUUGUUGAAGCCUGAAUUUAUGGACCAAAAUCAGUGGGACUUGUUUGUACAGAGGACAUUAUCAUCUACCUUUCAAGAAAAGAGUGCAAGAUUUAGAGCAAUGAGGGAAAAACAAGACCACAUUCACACAAUGAGUCGGAGGGGCUACGCUCGUUUGACUCACAUUAUGGAAAAGACAAGUCCGAUGGAUACAAAAAUUACGAGAUCGC